rfam:Aspergillus lentulus DNA, contig: Alt16, strain: IFM 54703.
CCCCCGAUGGUCUAGUUGGAUAUGGCGUUCGGCUGUAAUGGAAGAAUAACCUUGUAACCGAAAGGUCGCCGGCUCGAUUCCGGCUCGGGGGA